GGCAACAUGGCCGAGUGGUCUAAGGCGCCAGAAUCAGGAUCUGGUCCGCAAGGGCGUGAGUUCGAAUCUCACUGUUGUCA
rfam:Amanita muscaria Koide BX008 unplaced genomic scaffold scaffold_28, whole genome shotgun sequence.